UGGGGAAUCUUCCGCAAUGGACGAAAGUCUGACGGAGCAACGCCGCGUGAGUGAUGACGGCCUUCGGGUUGUAAAGCUCUGUUAAUCGGGACGAAAGGCCUUCUUGCGAAUAGUGAGAAGGAUUGACGGUACCGGAAUAGAAAGCCACGGCUAACUACGUGCCAGCAGCCGCGGUAAUACGUAGGUGGCAAGCGUUGUCCGGAAUUAUUGGGCGUAAAGCGCGCGCAGGCGGAUAGGUCAGUCUGUCUUAAAAGUUCGGGGCUUAACCCCGUGAUGGGAUGGAAACUGCCAAUCUAGAGUAUCGGAGAGGAAAGUGGAAUUCCUAGUGUAGCGGUGAAAUGCGUAGAUAUUAGGAAGAACACCAGUGGCGAAGGCGACUUUCUGGACGAAAACUGACGCUGAGGCGCGAAAGCCAGGGGAGCGAACGGGAUUAGAUACCCCGGUAGUCCUGGCCGUAAACGAUGGGUACUAGGUGUAGGAGGUAUCGACCCCUCCUGUGCCGGAGUUAACGCAAUAAGUACCCCGCCUGGGGAGUACGACCGCAAGGUUG
rnacentral:rRNA from 1 species